CAGCAGCAAGAUGUAUCGUACAGCGAGAAAAAACAAAACUUCCACAGGGUGGAAGGGUACCCAAAGACGGGGUCUCACUAUGUUGCCCAGGCUGGUCUCGGCUUCCCAAAGUGCUGGGAUUAUAGAUAUGAGCCACUGUACCUGGCCCAAAAGUGGAGAGACGUUUUAAAGAAUGAAAAGAAGAUGUCCAAGAUAAAGCACGAGGUAGAAAAAGCAAUUGCAGAAGAAUAUGUAUAGUGUGACUGUAUUUCUGCACAUCCAUUAGGACAAAACCUGGAGAAUGUGAACCAAACUGGUCCUGGUAUUUUGCUCUGGGUUGAUGGAUUAUGGGGGAUUUUCACUUUCUCACACAUUUUUGUAAAGUUUGAAAUGUUUUCACCACACACAUUCUUUUGUAAUCAGAAUAGAUGAUGAUGGGCCGGGUAUGGUGGCUCAUGACUGUAAUCUGAGCAUUUUGGGAGGCUGAGGCAGACAGAUUGCUUGAGUCCAGGAAUUCAAGACCCAGCCUGAGCAACAUGGUGAAACCCCAUCUCUACAAAAAAAAAAAAAUACAAAAAUUAGCCGGGCAUGGUGGUGUGCCUGUAGUCCCGGCUACUGGGGAGGCUGAGAUGGGAGUAUGGCUUGAGCCCAGGAAGUGGAGGCUGCAGUGAGCCAAGAUCACAACACUGCCUUCCAGCCUGGGUGACAGAACAAGACCCUGUAAGGAAAGAAAAGAAAAUUAAAAAGAAAAAAGGAGAGAAGAGGGGCAAAGAAAAGGAGGGAAGGAAGAAAAGAAAGAAAAAAAGAAAGGAAGAAAGACGAUGACAAUUAGACAAGCCGAAACAGGAGGCCCAAGAUUCAAGGAGUUUAACCAAAUGUCCAGAUGAGACCCUGAAUUUGUAUGUAAGCAAGUCAGUGUUGAUAAUGUUACUUGUCUUCCUUGCUAAUUUCUAAACUACAUGAAGUCAAGGACCCUGAUUGCCUUAGAUACUUCUGUAGUCCCGGAAUUUAGACAACGUGGUGUUGUGCUCAGCCAGGGGCCAGCAAACUGUAAACUACUAGAAAAUGGAAUAAAUAUUUUAGGCUUUUUGGGCCAAGAGGCAAAAUGAAAGGUAACAUGUAAGUACUUACUUUUUUAAUGUUUAUUUUAUUUUAAGACAUGGUCCUGCUAUGUUGCCCAGGAUGGUCUUAAACUCCAGGGCUCAAGCGCUCCUCCUGCCUCAGCCUCCCCAAGUGUUGGGAUUACAGGUGUGAGUCACCAUACCUGGCAUAGGUACCUAUGUGACAAGAAAGGAAACCAAUUUCCACAGAUUUUUUUAUUUUUUAUUUUUUGAGCAGAGUCUUGCUCGGUUGCCCAGGCUGGAGUGCAG
rnacentral:lncRNA from 10 species